AUUGAACGCUGGCGGCAGGCCUAACACAUGCAAGUCGAGCGGAGGAGGGGAGCUUGCGCCUGGAUUCAGCGUCGGACGGGUGUGUAAUGCCUAGGAAUCUGCCUGGUCGUGGUGGAUAACGUCCGGAAACGGGCGCUAAUACCGCAUACGUCCUGAGGGAGAUAGUGGGGGAUCUUCGGACCUCACGCUAUCAGAUGAGCCUAGGUCGGAUUAGCUAGUUGGUGGGGUAAAGGCCUACCAAGGCGACGAUCCGUAACUGGUCUGAGAGGAUGAUCAGUCACACUGUAACUGAGACACGGACCAGACUCCUACGGGACGCAGCAGUGGGGAAGAUUGGACAAUGGGCGAAUGCCUGAUCCAGUCAUGCCGCGUGUGUGAAGAAGGUCUUCGGAUUGUAAAGCACUUUAAGUUGGGAGGAAGGGCAGUAAGUUAAUACCUUGCUGUUGUGACGGUACCAACAGAAUAAGCACCGGCUAACUACGUG
rnacentral:rRNA from 1 species